AUGAUAUCUAUAUUGUGCUGAUCCACAUUAAAAAUCUAUGCAAACCUCCCCGCUUUCUGACGGUCUGUUGUACAUCCAGGUCUUUUCAGUGUUCGCCGUGCACCUUACAUUUCAUCAUUCGUCUCUCCACCGCCAUACCCCUCCCCCCUCUGCAAAAAGAAGCAAAACCUUUUCUCAGAUUGCGGUGAGGGUUUGGAAUGCACUGAUCGAGAAUGUAGUGGAGGCAAGGUAAAUCGGGACUUUCCAUAGGCAAUUACACUUCUCUAACAAGGGGAGAAUGGCACUUGAUGUUAAAGUUGAGCGUAAGACCAUCGGGGAGUUGCAGACCUCAGGACACAGAGAAGCAACCCACAUUGACCAAAUCCUCAACUUCCACAGCAACCAACCCAACGUCCACAAAGAAAGCUGCAUUAGGACACUAUUUAAACGGGCCAGGACUCACUGCAACGCUCCAGAACUACAUAAGAAAGAGGCCAGUGUUUUGUUAUUGCAUCAAGUCCGUGAGGGUCUCCGAAAAUGAACCUAACAUUUGGUGUUGCGAGCAGGGUUCCAACAUGUCCAGCAGUCUUACAUGGAGAACCAAAUAAGUGAUCGUUCGAGUGUCGAUGGAGCAAGACUGAGGGGGCCCGCAAGAUACGAUUCACCUUGGUCUCUCUCACUAACCUGCCACCCAUGUGACCCCUCAUCCCUGCAUGACUCUGUACUGAUGGAACCCUGAGAUGACUCACGGUCUUGAACACUGCUAAAUCCUAAUGCCUGGAGGUUUGAGCCCCCAGGUUAGCAAAGAAGAAUCCAGGAGGUUAGAGUCCCCUGGUGGCCGGAGUUAGAGUCCCUAGGUCAGAUAAAAUUGACUAACUAAAUCGGGGUGGGGGGUUUGGUGGUGGUUGGGGGGGUUAGUAUAAGAAUGGUAAAGUAGAAUAAGUGUUCAGACGUAAGGUAUAGGAUAAGUACAGUGUCUGUCUGUCUCAACCACCCUGCCUCAGACUGCUUGUUACGUGGAGAGAUCCCCCAUGCGAAGGUCAGGUCCCUGAAGUGGGUGUUGAGACUAAGGAUACUGUUGUCUAUAUAUAGAAAUAAGUAAAAAGUAAAAGUGCUAAAAAUGGGACAAACGUUAGCUAAGUCGGGUGUGGGAACCCCUUUACAUUGGUUAUGCUGGGAUGACCCCAAAAAUGAAGUACAGUUCAGACAUCUGUCGGCAUGCCUAAACAAAAAAUUGGGAAAUGAGAAUUGGCCAUUAGGGGGAAUGUGGGAUAUAGAUGUAUGUAUUAAAGCUGGGGAGGCAUUGUGGACACGUAAUGCAGGAAGCAAAUGGAAAGGGUUAAUGUCGUCCUGGAGAAAGAGAGCUGAGGACCUGACUGAGAAAUCAAAACUGGCCAGUUGGGUGGAUAAUGAACGUAGGAGAGGAAUUAGUGCAUGUGGUAGUGAGGGAAAACCUCAACCUUGGGAGGUGUUAAAGCUGCAGUGUGAGGAUCAUGAGAUGAAUGGACAGGAAAGGGUUAAACAAGAAAUGCUGGAAAGGGAAAGACGAGACAAAGAACGGGGAUUAUAGUGGCAGGCCGCGUUGACAGAAAAUAAAAUAUCGGAGGUACCGCCUGACAUAUCCAGCAUGCUGAUGUUGCUCCAAAAUAAUGGUACAGAUGAGCAAGAUGAGGAGGACAGAACCCUCUGCUCCAUCUGGACCACUACCCCCUCCCCAAAUCUACCUGUCUUUGGCCAACCUACAUCUGCAGGCAUCCCAACACUGCCAUCAGUCCCAGCAAUCGCCCGUAGCCCUAUCACCGCCACCGUAUGCUGACCAAACCAAACCUCUUGCUGUAGAAUCUCCAAGCCCUUCAGUAUUCAGCCCACAUGAAUCUCCUGAAAAACCCACAGCUUGUACAGACCCUAUCUCCUGUCGUACUAGGUCUAAAACUAAACAGACAAACAGGAAACAGGAUACGGAACAGACUGCUUGUGGACGAAGGGAUGGACGUCAGGAUUCUUUUAAAACUCACAGGGGAAGCCUGAUAAAACGUCCUCAGGAAGAUGCAUCCAGAAUUCCCUGUAUGUUAAAAACCUACUCCAGGCAAUCCUCCUCCCUAAACAAUUGGCCAUUAUCAAAUGCGCUGCCCAUGCCUCCUGCAGUUACUCAGGGCAACACGGGCUGAUCAGGCUUCCAAACAGGUUGCUGCAGAUCAAACUUUUAUUGUGCCCUCUAUGAACAAGCAGGCCUUUGGGUCACCCCAGUCGGCCAAGUGUGUAUAUUGUUACCUAUGCUUGUCGACUGUCUGCAUUCUGAUACCCACCUUGGCAAGGAUGGAAUGAGUGGUAUCAUGCUCUGCAUCUGGUGGCUGAAGCAGCCCAGUCUCGUAUAGCAUCAUGUUUGACAUGCCAGCAAAACAAUGUUGGUCAGGGGGUGAGAUGUUCACCAGGAAAAACAUCCUUGCCAGGUGGACCGGUUGAAUGCAUUCAGCUGGAUUUUAUUGAAUUACUGUGUGUAAACUGUUAUAAAUAUUGUCUUGUCAUUGCAGAUGCAUUCAGUAGGUGGAUAGAGGCUUUUCCAACAACAAAUAACAAAGCCUUAACAGUAGUAAAAUUAUUAUUAACUGAAAGCCAUUCACUUCAGCAGCUUGAAAUUACAUUCUGCCACUUCAGCAACUUGAAAUUGCCUCCUGUCGUUAGCUGUCACUUCGCGAACGAUCAAUACAGUAUCCUGCUCUCUUUGUAUUUUCGAUGUAGUAAUUGUUUUUGAUUCAUGUUAUUGUCCGAUGUGGUGAUUGUUUCAUGUAACAUACCCUUGUGAGAUUCAAAAUUGCUUUAUGUAUAAUGCACUCGAUAAGGUAUGAAAAGUGGGGACUGUCCACUGCUCAAGGAGAAUCGCUUAUGAGACUCUGCAUUCUGUGCCGGCUUGAGUGCAGUGAUCCUCCACGGCUUGUGCUUGCUUAAUAAUAAAGGAUUUGUGUUUUUCUAAA